AUGAAGGUUCCGUCUGGCUUCUCGUCGAAUAUAAAGGGAAUAAUAAACAUGGCGGAGAAAAAGUUCCAAAACCUGAAGUCUCACGACUGCCACGUGAUUAUGACGCAAUUGCUUCCGAUUGCUUUGAGGGGGCUCCUACCGGAAAAUGUUCGCGUAGCCAUUGUGAAGCUAUGUGCAUUCCUCAAUGCAAUCUCUCAGAAGGUAAUCAAUCCAGAAGAUCUACCACGGUUACAGAACGAUGUGGUCCAAUGCCUUGUCAGUUUCGAGUUGGUGUUCCCACCAUCCUUCUUCGAUAUUAUGACGCACCUCCUGCUCCACCUAGUCGAAGAGAUUUUCAUUCUCGGUCCUGUAUUUCUACACAAUAUGUUCCCCUUUGAGAGGUUCAUGGGAGUAUUAAAGAAAUAUGUUCGUAACCGUGCUAGGCCAGAAGGAAGCAUCGUCAAGGGCUAUGGAAAUGAGGAGGUAAUUGAGUUCUGUAUUGACUAUGUUCCUGACCUUAAGCCGAUUGGUAUUCCUCAAUCGCGGCACGAGGGGAGACUAAGUGGAAAAGGCAAGAUCGGAAGGAAAUCCACGAUAUGUAUGGACGGUCAUUCUAUGACUGAAGCACACCACAAAGUUCUGCAAAAUUCCAGCUUUGUGGCUCCGUACUUCGAGCAACACAAGAAUAUUUUACGCUCGGACAACCCGGGGAAGCCUGAAUCCUGGAUUAGAAAGGCCCAUAUGGAGACUUUCGGCAGUUGGUUGCGAAAACAUUUAAUGAAUGACAAUGAUGUUGGAGAUCAGCUGUACAUGUUGGCCAAGAAACCAUCUUCGACUAUAACGAUUUUCCAAGGGUACGAGAUAAAUGGGAAUACAUUUUACACCAUCGCCCAAGAUAAAAAGAGCACCAACCAAAACAGUGGUGUCCGCUUUGAUGCAGCAACCGAGAAUGGGCGAAAGGUCACAUAUUAUGGUUACAUAGAGGAGAUAUGGGAACUUGACUAUGGACCCUCCUUUAAGGUCCCUUUGUUCCGGUGCAAAUGGUUCAAGCUAACAGGAGGUGGGGUAAAGGUGGACGAGCAAUACGGAAUGACAAUGGUGGAUUUCAACAAUCUUGGUUACCUUGACGAACCAUUCGUCCUUGCCAAAGAUGUUGCUCAGGUUUUUUAUUUGAAGGACAUGAGUAGCAAACCGAGGAAACGGAAAGAUAAGAAAACGAUCAGUACAUCAUGCGAUGAUCCAAAGCGCCACAUUGUUCUUUCAGGGAAAAGAAACAUCGUGGGAGUGGAGGACAAGACAGACAUGUCAGAAGAUUAUAAUAUGUUUGGUGAAAUUCCGCCCUUCAAAGUGAACACUGACCCAAGCAUUAAGUUAAAUGAUGAGGAUGCUCCAUGA
rnacentral:rRNA from 1 species